AGCUGUAGGCAUGCAGGGCCGGAAACGCUGCAGACCCACGGCCUGGAGCAGCUCGGAGGUGGUGAAUAAUAGCUCUUCACGUCUGCAAUAAAAAAUGGCCUCCAAUAAAACUACAUUUCAAAAAAUAGGAAAAAAACAAUAGGAAGAGUAAAAAAGUUGAAGAGGCAGAGCCUGAAGAAUUUGUGGUGGAAAAAGUACUAGAUCGAUGUGUAGUGAAUGGGAAAGUGGAGUAUUUCCUGAAGUGGAAGGGAUUUACAGAUGCUGACAAUACUUGGGAACCUGAAGAAAAUUUAGAUUGUCCAGAGUUGAUUGAAGCAUUUGUUAACUCUCAGAAAGCUGGCAAAGAAAAAGAUGGUACAAAAAGAAAAUCUUUAUCUGAUAGUGAAUCUGAUGACAGCAAAUUAAAGAAGAAAAGAGAUGCUGCUGACAAACCAAGAGGAUUUGCCAGAGGUCUUGAUCCUGAAAGAAUAAUUGGUGCCACAGACAGCAGUGGAGAAUUGAUGUUUCUUAUGAAAUGG